UAAUAAGUAAAUUAAAUUUAAGGAGUAAAUGGUAUAUCAUUAAAUUUAAAAGAUUUGGCGGUAUUUUAUACAAAUUAGAGGAACCUGUGCAGUAAUUGAUGGUCCACGAUAAGAGAGACUUAAUUUUUUAUAUUUAUGUAUUGUUGUUUAAAGAUAUGUAAAUAAAUAUAUAAUUGUAAAAGAUGAUAAUAAAAUUUAAUAAUUCAAAUCAAAAUGUAGUAUAUAAUUAAGAUAGUAUGGGUUACAAUAAAAUAAAUUUAUAUGAAAUAAAAAUUUUAAUAUUUUUAUGAAGGCGGAUUUAACAGUAAAAUAUAUUAAUUAAUAUAUUUGAAGAAGUUUUAAAAUAUGU
rnacentral:rRNA from 1 species